UACAGAGGGUGCAAGCGUUAAUCGGAAUUACUGGGCGUAAAGCGCGCAUAGGUGGUUCGUUAAGUUGGAUGUGAAACCCCCAGGCUCAACCUGGGGACGCCACCCGAUACUGCUGUGGCUAGAGUCCAGUAGGGGAGUGUGGAAUUCCCGGUGUAGCGGUGAAAUGCGCAGAUAUCGGGAGGAACACCAGCGGCGAAGGCGGCACUCUGGGCUGGAACUGACGCUGAGGAGCGAAAGCGUGGGUAGCAAACAGG
rnacentral:rRNA from 1 species